rnacentral:rRNA from 1 species
UACGAAGGGGGCUAGCGUUGCUCGGAAUCACUGGGCGUAAAGCGCACGUAGGCGGCUUGUUAAGUCAGGGGUGAAAUCCUGGAGCUCAACUCCAGAACUGCCUUUGAUACUGGCGAGCUUGAGUCCGGGAGAGGUGAGUGGAACUGCGAGUGUAGAGGUGAAAUUCGUAGAUAUCGCAAGAACACCAGUGGCGAAGGCGGCUCACUGGCCCGGUACUGACGCUGAGGUGCGAAAGCGUGGGGAGCAAACAGG